ensembl:lncRNA
CUCAGUGCUCAUCUUAAAACCUGUCGAGACCUGUCAGAGAGAGACAUCGUGACAGUGUAAUACUGCAUCCUGUUGGCAUUUGAUUUGUUUAAGGUACCUCCUCCAAUGAGAUCCAUUUCAUUUGCAGAUUGCCUCAAUAAAGAUAGGGAAAGUUAAAAGUGCAAUAUCCACACGCAAUCUCCACCCACUCACUUCUCCCACAGUUAUAACCUGGGACACUGCAUUGCAUGGAUUUAUUGGACAGAAGAACCUCCAGAGGCUGUGAGCUUACAGAUAACUCACUGGCAAAAUGCUUCUGUUGUUUCUGUCUCUGGUUUUGGGAACUCCACAAGGACAAGGGGUUACAGUAACGUGUGACAAUAUAUCGGUUUCAAAAGACCAGCAACUGACACUGUGCUGUACAGUGGAUUACACUGCCAUACAAACUAUCAAACAUGGGACGAAGGGGACCACAAAUGACACAACAUGUGUUACUGAGUGGUUUGCAUGGAAGUAUUCAGAUAAUGUACUACUGAAUUGUAUUAAAGACUGUCACAUGAAAGAAACGGAAGCACCACACUGCUAUUAUAAGAAAGAAAAUGUUACAAAAGCUGAUGAGGGUAAUUACACUUUUUCCAUUGGCACAAACUGUGGGUUUGGUUCAGGGACAACAAGCUUUUUCACUGUUGCAGUUCCUGCGAAAAGUGUUGACAACUGGAGAGAGCAACAAGCUCCUGUAUGGUUAACUCUGGUUGUUAUCAUCAGCGUCAUCGCUGUUCUGGGCGUUCUAUUGUUUCUAAAAACUUAUCGUUCUGGCAGAAGAUUGAUGAAACGACUCAAGAGUUCUAUGACCCAGAGCAACAACAACACUGAUGAGAGCCCUGAAGGUUCAAGAGAGGCCGUUACCCUGGUGCCUGCAUAACAUUCAGCGUGAGCCAGUUGUCUUGUUGGUUAUUUCGAAAUGAACUCCACGUUGACCUCUGCUAUGUUGCUGUAUGUCAGAUGCAUUCUAUACCAAUAAAACACUACUCACUUUUGCACCUAAAUUAGUUUUGCACCAACAUUUGUGGAAUCAGUUAGUGAAAUCACUAAUAAUCGUCUUUCACAGAAAAAAAGGGUGCUAAAAAGGGUGCUAUCUAGAACCAUCCCCAUAGGAGAACCCUUUGAAUAACUCUGGUUCCAGGUAGAACCCUUUUCAUAACCCUUAAGCUUGUUUACAAAGGGAGUUGGUUUUGGUCUAUAUAUACAUUGAUGUUGUAAUAUUCUGUAAUAUUCUCACAAGCAUUGUUUUCAUAACUACUAAGCUAAACUUGUUUUUAGUUUUAGCCUAAACUCUGACGUAAUUUUCUGGGACUCAUGUUUUUUUAAAUUAAUAUAAAAUGUUAUUGAUUUGUGUACAAAUAAACGUUUGGAAAUAACCAGUCUUCAUAAUGUUAUUUCUCUCAUAUAGAGCUUGUUGUCUUGUGCCGAAUUAUUAUCUCCAACAAUAAUGUACAUUUCAGUUAUCACAGCACAUAGAGUACCCGUCAGCAGAAAAUAACCACAACACUUCCUGUGAACAAGUCAACAGAGGAAACUCUUUCUCUAUCCAUUUAUUCAGUUGUUCACCAUUUUACCCUGCCAAAAGACAGUUCACCAGUCAGUUGUGAGUGUUUUGCGCGUGCGGAAGAGUGUGUGGAGCUCUCUGAUAAAUGCA